UACAGAGGGUGCGAGCGUUGUUCGGAAUUACUGGGCGUAAAGAGCGUGUAGGCGGCCACACAGGUCUGCUGUGAAAACUCGAGGCUCAACCUCGAGCUGUCGGUGGAAACCGUGUGGCUAGAGUCCGGAAGAGGAGAGUGGAAUUCCCGGUGUAGCGGUGAAAUGCGCAGAUAUCGGGAAGAACACCCGUGGCGAAGGCGGCUCUCUGGGACGGUACUGACGCUGAGACGCGAAAGCGUGGGGAGCGAACAGG
rnacentral:rRNA from 1 species